rnacentral:tRNA from 1 species
GCGGAUUUAUCUCUGCUUCCCAAGCAGAAGGUGGAGAGUUCGAGCCUCUUAACCCGCUCCA